UACGAAUGGAGCAAGCGUUAUUCGGAAUCACUGGGCAUUAAGGGCGCGUAGGCGGUCUUGUAAGUCGCGGGUGAAAGCCCACUGCUCAACGGUGGAAGGGCCUGCGAUACUGCGAGACUUGAGUGCGGGAGAGGAGAGCGGAAUUCCAGGUGGAGCGGUGAAAUGCGUAGAUAUCUGGAAGAACACCGGUGGCGAAGGCGGCUCUCUGGUCCGUAACUGACGCUGAGGCGCGAAAGCUAGGGGAGCAAACAGG
rnacentral:rRNA from 1 species